UACGUAGGGACCAAGCGUUGCCCGGAAUCAUUGGGCGUAAAGAGCGUGUAGGCGGCUUGUUAAGUCUUGCGUGAAAUCUCGGGGCUCAACCCCGAGCGGUCGUGAGAAACUGGCAGGCUAGAGUGCGGGAGAGGAGAGUGGAAUUCCUGGUGUAGCGGUGAAAUGCGCAGAUAUCAGGAGGAACACCAAUGGCGAAGGCAGCUCGCUGGAACGGUACUGACGCUGAGGCGCGAAAGCGUGGGGAGCAAACAGG
rnacentral:rRNA from 1 species